GACGAACGCUGGCGGCGUGCUUAACACAUGCAAGUCGAACGGAAAGGCCCUGCUUUUGUGGGGUGCUCGAGUGGCGAACGGGUGAGUAACACGUGAGUAACCUGCCCUUGACUUUGGGAUAACUUCAGGAAACUGGGGCUAAUACCGGAUAGGAGCUCCUGCUGCAUGGUGGGGGUUGGAAAGUUUCGGCGGUUGGGGAUGGACUCGCGGCUUAUGAGCUUGUUGGUGGGGUAGUGGCUUACCAAGGCUUUGACGGGUAGCCGGCCUGAGAGGGUGACCGGCCACAAUGGGACUGAGAUACGGCGCAGACUCCUACGGGAGGCAGCAGUGGGGAAUAUGACACAAUGGGCGGAAGCCUGAUGCAGCAACGCCGCGUGCGGGAUGCCGGCCUUCGGGUUGUAAACCGCUUUCGCCUGUGACGAAGCGUGAGUGACGGUAAUGGGUAAAGAAGCACCGGCUAACUACGUG
rnacentral:rRNA from 1 species